rnacentral:lncRNA from 1 species
UUAACCUUAAUCCCAAAUAUCAAAUGCUAACAAUAAUUUUAAGUCAUAAAAAUAAAAUCAAUAAAAAAAGUGUGUUAAAAUGGACCAUUUAGAAUAAAUAAUUAAAAUAAAAUAUUAAUAUUACAAAAAUACGAAAAUAAAAAUUAUAUAAAAUUAAAUAAAAUGUUAAAAAAAGUGAAAAAUAUUUUUGGGUAAUUUUAUGGACGAAGAAAAUAUUUUAAAUAAGAAAAAG